rnacentral:rRNA from 1 species
UACGUAGGUGGCAAGCGUUGUCCGGAAUUAUUGGGCGUAAAGCGCGCGCAGGUGGUUCUUUAAGUCUGAUGUGAAAGCCCACGGCUCAACCGUGGAGGGUCAUUGGAAACUGGGGAACUUGAGUGCAGAAGAGGAAAGUGGAAUUCCACGUGUAGCGGUGAAAUGCGUAGAGAUGUGGAGGAACACCAGUGGCGAAGGCGACUUUCUGGUCUGUAACUGACACUGAGGCGCGAAAGCGUGGGGAGCAAACAGG